rnacentral:rRNA from 1 species
AGUGAACGCUGGCGGUAGGCCUAACACAUGCAAGUCGAACGGCAGCACAGGAGAGCUUGCCCUCUGGGUGGCGAGUGGCGGACGGGUGAGGAAUACAUCGGAAUCUACUCUGUCGUGGGGGAUAACGUAGGGAAACUUACGCUAAUACCGCAUACGACCUACGGGUGAAAGCAGGGGAUCUUCGGACCUUGCGCGAUCGAAUGAGCCGAUGUCGGAUUAGCUAGUUGGCGGGGUAAAGGCCCACCAAGGCGACGAUCCGUAGCUGGUCUGAGAGGAUGAUCAGCCACACUGGAACUGAGACACGGUCCAGACUCCUACGGGAGGCAGCAGUGGGGAAUAUUGGACAAUGGGCGCAAGCCUGAUCCAGCCAUACCGCGUGGGUGAAGAAGGCCUUCGGGUUGUAAAGCCCUUUUGUUGGGAAAGAAAUCCAGCUGGUUAAUACCCGGUUGGGAUGACGGUACCCAAAGAAUAAGCACCGGCUAACUUCGUGCCAGCCGCCGCGGUAA